rnacentral:rRNA from 1 species
GGUGAACGCUGGCGGCGUGCUUAAGACAUCCAAGUCGAACGGCAGUCUUCGGACUGUAGUGGCGCACGGGUGAGUAACGCGUAACUGACCUACCCCAAAGUCGCGGAUAACGAUUCGAAAGAAUCGCUAAUACGUGAUGUGCUGUCAGAUUGUGUUCUGCCAGUAAAGAUUGAUUGCUUUGGGAUGGGGUUGCGUUCCAUCAGCUAGUUGGUGGGGUAAAGGCCCACCAAGGCGACGACGGAUAGCCGGCCUGCGAGGGUGGCCGGCCACAGGAGAACUGAGACACGGGUCCCACUCCUACGGGAGGCAGCAGUUAGGAAUCUUCCACAAUUGGCGGAAGCCUGAUGGAGCGACGACGCGUGAGGGAUGAAGGUCUUCGGAUCGUAAACCUCUGAAUCAGGGACGAAAGACACUUCGGUGGGAUGACGGUACCUGAGUAAUAGCACCGGCUAACUCCGUGCCAGCCGCCGCAGUAAUAC